rnacentral:lncRNA from 1 species
CUUCCUACAACGCUUACACAUUACUUAUUCAUCAAUUGCAAAACAUCCACAAAUUAAAUAACGUGUCCACGGUGUUAGACAUUUCGGAUCCUAUUAGGUUAAGAAGCGUAUUAAAUCCACCGCAUAUCUGCUCUUCCGUACUUUGUUGUCACCGGUGUACCUGGCAGCCCCCAAAAUCGUAGUUAAAUCUCAACUUUGUUUUUGUCUUUAUACGAGCGUUGACGCAAUGUCCACUCUUUCUGUGGCCUUGGCUCGCUCCGGUCGCCUGAUGUUUCUAACGGAUUUUAAAGGUUGUUCGUCGCGCGGUGGGUUCGGCACGCGGUGGAUUUCAGCCUGUGGACCGACGCGAGAGCUUCGCCUUGCAUAUCGCAUCCCGGUGAGUGCACACAUUUGUUAGUACAGUGUAAAUGUACAAGCCAGGGCGCUAGGACAUUAUACAUCACCACCGCCAAAGCCUUG